GUCUACGGCCAUACCACGUUGAAAACACCAGUUCUCGUCCGAUCACUGAAGUUAAGCAACGUCGGGCUCGGUUAGUACUUGGAUGGGUGACCGCCUGGGAACACCGAGUGCAGUAGACG
rfam:Lottia gigantea unplaced genomic scaffold LOTGIsca_18, whole genome shotgun sequence.